ACACCACAAAAUACAAAUCUUAUAUAUCACUUGAGAAAUAUUUCAACCUUUGGACUAUGUCAUGUGACAUAACGACUAUAAUGAUUUUUAAUUUUUUUUAAAUAAGUUUUUACAUAUAAUAUACUUUUUAUCAAACAAAUUAUAUAAAUAAAUAUUAGUGUAUAUAAAAAAUAAUUCGGUUUUCCUUAACUAAAAACUAUGAAAUUACCUAGGAGAAAUUUUAUGUUUACCACUUUCAUUGUACCACUUUUAAUCUUUACCAUCACUAAUAAAACAUUUUUAAAAAUACAUAAUAUAUUUAGUUAUAAUGACUAAACUAACCAUAGAGUCUUUCUUCUUUGCGCUAGAUUGACGAUACAUCCUCCACGGCGGCGUUUUCAAUUCCGAUCACGUUCUUGUACGCCAUUGAGAGGAGGUUUCGAUCUUCCACCGUAUGCUCCUCUCUUGGAGUGCGUCUGUGACGAAUUGCUCCAUGAACUGUACCAUCUCUGCGUAACGCUCCGGCGAGCUUUGCCACAUAAACAUACUGGUCUCUGUUAAUUUCGUAAUUGGAGAGAGAGAGAGAGAGAGAGAGAGAGAGAGAGAGAGAGAGAGAGAGAGAGAGAGAGAGAGAGAGAGAGAGAGAGAGAGAGAGAGAGAGAGAGAGAGAGAGAGAGAGAGAGAGAGAGAGAGAGAGAGAGAGAGAGAGAGAGAGAUGGCGCCGCCGGCAACGGAGCGUUGGUGCUGGGCAUUGAUUAUUGUGUUGUUCGUCCAAUCCUCCACGGCCAUUUAUUGCGGCGAAUAAGAUUGAUAUGCUCUCCUCGGAGUGGCUCAGGAUGCAAACGCGUCGGAUAUAAAGAGAUCUUACUGCAAGCUCUCUCUCGAACAUCAUCCAGAUAAGAAUCCGAUCCUGGAUCCAAGAAGCUCUUUGUCAAAAUCGCCACUGCCUACAAGGGAGGAUACACGCGACCAACAACGAUUUCUAGAGAUACACUCCCAAGGGUUUCAUGGAAAUGAAGAUCCUCCAAAACGACAACCUUUACGUCCUUGUCGACUUGCCCGUCUAGCAAAAGUUUAACUGCUUAUGUGUGAGUUAAGAUUUUAUAAACUCUUGCUAAACUAAGUUUUAGUUUGUAUCUUUGCAGUUUGUAGUUUGUAUCUUUGCUGUCUGCUUUUGUAAAUAAACCAUUUAUAAGAGUUUAUAAAACGUUUUAUGAAUCAUUAAUAA